GCCGAAUGCAGCUGCCGUUGGCGGGUCUCCGGUUCGGGCGGCGAAGUGCCGGAGUAACAGUCACUUCGCGCAUGCUCACAGUCUCCAGGUGGGCGGUGUUUUCCUUUCCGCGCAGUGCUGAAGCGGAUCAUCUGCGGCAUCGGGAAAGGGCCCUCGCCUCCUGGGUCGGGGAGCCGGGGGUCGGGAUCACUGUCCGCAGGCCGAAGAUAUCAGUUUUCCCAUCGUUAGACCUGUGGUGAGAGAUUUAUUGGAAGAAAAACCCCAACUGGAGGCAAACCACGACUGAAGACGAGGGAACAGCAACAAGUGAACGAGCCCGAGGGUUGAGAGCAUCAACUGGAGAGAACCCAUCUGACUCGGAGAAUCCAGUGAUUCAGUCAGGGGAAAGUUUGGUGAGUCUCAUUUACUCAAACACUGGUCCUUUAGACAUUGCAUACUUGUACAAAGGAUGGUAGGAAAUAGUUGGAGUGAGACUGAAUGUUGCCAGAAGAACCAGUUAUGCCUCUGUCAGACCCAGUUGCAAUCACUCUAGGUCUGGUGAUGUGCUUCCAGCAGCCCAGCCCUUUAAAACCACUCCCAUUCUGUGGAAG